rnacentral:rRNA from 1 species
GAUGAACGCUGGCGGUGUGCCUAAUACAUGCAAGUCGAGCGAACGGACGAGAAGCUUGCUUCUCUGAUGUUAGCGGCGGACGGGUGAGUAACACGUGGAUAACCUACCUAUAAGACUGGGAUAACUUCGGGAAACCGGAGCUAAUACCGGAUGAUAUUUUGAACCGCAUGGUUCAAAAGUGAAAGACGGUCUUGCUGUCACUUAUAGAUGGAUCCGCGCUGCAUUAGCUAGUUGGUAAGGUAACGGCUUACCAAGGCAACGAUGCAUAGCCGACCUGAGAGGGUGAUCGGCCACACUGGAACUGAGACACGGUCCAGACUCCUACGGGAGGCAGCAGUAGGGAAUCUUCCGCAAUGGGCGAAAGCCUGACGGAGCAACGCCGCGUGAGUGAUGAAGGUCUUCGGAUCGUAAAACUCUGUUAUUAGGGAAGAACAUAUGUGUAAGUAACUGUGCACAUCUUGACGGUACCUAAUCAGAAAGCCACGGCUAACUACGUG